AGUGAACGCUGGCGGUAGGCCUAACACAUGCAAGUCGAACGGCAGCACAGUAAGAGCUUGCUCUUACGGGUGGCGAGUGGCGGACGGGUGAGGAAUACAUAGGAAUCUACUUUUUCGUGGGGGAUAACGUAGGGAAACUUACGCUAAUACCGCAUACGACCUACGGGUGAAAGCAGGGGAUCUUCGGACCUUGCGCGAUUGAAUGAGCCGAUGUCGGAUUAGCUAGUUGGCGGGGUAAAGGCCCACCAAGGCAACGAUCCGUAGCUGGUCUGAGAGGAUGAUCAGCCACACUGGAACUGAGACACGGUCCAGACUCCUACGGGAGGCAGCAGUGGGGAAUAUUCGACAAUGGGCGCAAGCUUGACCCAGCCAUACCGCGUGAGUGAAGAAGGUCUUCGGAUUGUAAAGCUCUUUUGUUAGGGAAGAAAAACUGCAGAUGAAUACCCCGCUGUUCUGACGGUACCCAAAGAGUAAGCACCGGCUAACUUCGUG
rnacentral:rRNA from 1 species